GGCCCCAUGGUCAAGCGGUAAAGACGCUGCCCUCUCAAGGCGGAAACAGGGGUUCGAUUCCCCUUGGGGCUACCA
rnacentral:tRNA from 1 species